GUUAUUUGUUUCUAAGGCAACAGCGUAUAUCUAAGUACUAAUGGCCUGUCCUUUUGCCAGGCAACAAACAGCCUUGUGAUGCAACUGCACCUGUCUCGGCUACGCGUUACUAUGGAGACGCUCCAGUUGCUAUGGGUACCAUCACGCUAAUCGCCUAGCAAAGGCAGACAUACAGCAGUCUUCUCAGAGAGCCCAGCUGUUCCUCCCUGUCUCUUGCUAAAGACUGAUUGUCUAGGGCCUGUGAUGGAAUGCUUCUCAACUGAGAUGCACAAGAACUUCAUUAAUGCUAUUUCAGAAGAUCAUUUUGUGCUCCCUCCUGCAGAACAAACAGCAGACUAGGAAAAGAAUCUGCAGAGAAGUGGACUGCAAAAUUCCUGAAGCCUAUGACACCAUGCCAUCCCUAAUUAACCUCGACUUGCAGUCCAAGGAUAAUUCCUCUUAACUAGGUGGUUACGAAAGAAACAUUUCUAUACAUUUUUAAAUACGUUUUUGUAGAGUUGAGGAAUGCAUUUCAAACUCAAGCACUGUGUGUUGAUAAAAAUCUAUCUUAGAAAUUUGGUUCUGAUUAUUUGGCUCUCUUGUGGAAUAUAACAUUAAGACACUUUUUUUAAAAAAAAAAGUGACAGGCUACUUAUUUACCCUCCCUUCCAAUGAUGUAUUUGUAAAAAUGGUACCCAUGACCUUACUGUCUCAAACAAAUGGGCCUGUGAGGAGGAGAAAAUGUCUCUAUGGUUCUCUGCUGUUCUCCCUGAGGAAGCAAACACCAAGUAACCACAACAAAACGAUCACCUGGGAGCACCGUCCACAUGGAGACCGCGAAAGCCAACAGCCGAGUGAGCCUCCACUGGACGUCUGCAGAGACCGGCCAGAGGAAGGGACGACGGAGUCACCUGCUCGACUCGCGCCUGUACUUUUAUCCCCACAAAACGUGACACACAUCGAGAUGGGAAAGCUGUCAGCUUUUCUCUGUCCAUGUUUCUACUCAGGAAGGUGUUAUUUCACCCACUAUGAAGCCUCCUGGAAGCACAUUCCUCCGAAGCUGCAGAAGCGGUCUUUCAGAAAUGCACCUCUUAUAUCUUGGAACGCCCCUCCAUCCAAAAGAGAAUAUGGGUAGAACAUGUGGAGAAGGAAUUCUCUUAGGCCCAUGGUAGAAUGUGGCCAUUGGCCACGAGAUCACCAGUCACCCACUCUCCCUAAUUUUCAACAGGGAUCCCUCCUGGGAGUUUCUGGGUCGUGAGCCCAGCUUUUAGCCACAGCAUCAAGCCGACCGACUCAUCCACUUUUAAGGAGACACUGCCUCUACAGUGCCUCUCCACUCGAGCACAAGUACUCCAACCACGAAGGAGACCCCUUUCAACAAAGGGUGUCUGACACAGACUGCACCCUGAUGUGGCAGCACCGGGCUCCAAAAAUAAAUCCGAAACCAUCCCCGACCCACGUGAGAGGCUGCAGGGACCAAAUAACAUUGUCAGUGUUAUCAAUUCCUUCAGCGUUCUUGUCAGCACCGGUCAAGAUACGGACAAAACGCCCUGCGACCGAUGUGCCAAGGUUGCCAGGGAGAGGACAGGGGCACCAGGACAAACUACAGGUAAGAGGCUGCUACACCAGGGCUCCAGCAGGAACAGAGGGUCAGGGAGGCCGAACAGGGGUUGGAGGCGGAGGAUAACUAAGCACUGUGAUUCACGGGCAGGGGAUGGAGGAAAAAAUUAAGGAAACAGAAUCCACCCAGAAAGGCUAACUGACCUGGCCCCUGGGAACAGCGGCAGCAACCACGUGGAAAAGGCAGUGAUGCCUGAGCUACCUGUCCCCACAGCUGCACAGAGAGCCAGGGCUCAGCAGGCCGGGCUCCUGCCCCAGAGACCUGCCGUCAUCUCUCAGAGGCCUAUGGUGGAGAAUUUAAAAGAUCCUGGAGGGAUGGAAGUUCCCUGGUGUAGCCUGUCAUCCUCAUCCAGGGGGAGUAAGUGCACCCCUGCUUUGCUGGCUUCUUGCAUCCCUGCCUACCACUGAGAAGCUGUCCUCGCCUCGAUUUCUUCUUUUUGAGUCUGCCAUCUGUUCUUCUGCCAGGACCGUGACUGACAGAAUAAAAAACGGAAUUGAUUACCCUAGAAUUUCAUUCUUGGAAUCUACAUGCCACAAUAUGUACAUAAUAAUUCCCUUGCAAUUUCCACAAGUCAUAAAGGAUAGCAAUCAGGCAGGGAAAAAAAAUAUGCCACCAAAACUACCAUAAUAAUUUACUAUCCUGCAUACCUUGAAAGAACACAAUUCAUCUUCCUAAAAAGUGGAGUAAGCUUUGAAACAUGAAAACUCAAUUACAGUAUUAGGAAAGUAUGGAAUUACUAAAAAUAUUCUCUGUAGAAUUCCAUAUAGGUGCAUCAUCAAUGGUUGCUAUUAUGUUUCAGACUCGGUCUAACUGCAUAUAAAAAUUGCAGAUAGGACAUCAGUGUUAGUAAGUUUCCAAUUUGACAACAGCAGACUGAAACUAAAUCUUACCUGAGCCACUAUAUAGAGCUGGUAUUAACUACAUUUAGUAUAACAAGAAUUCAUUUAUCAUAACAAGAACACCAUACAAUCAAACUUUCUAAGAGUCUAAUACUUAAUAGUCAACCUCAUCCUGAAGACCACUAUUGUUUUAUAUUAGAUCAGGGUAACCCACAGGAAAUUAAAACAGGAUCCAAAGUUUCAAAUUUAAAAACUGUGAGCUGUCUCAUGGGGAA